rnacentral:rRNA from 1 species
AGUCUGACCUGCCCUCUGAUAUAUUAUAUUGAAUGGCCGCGAUACUUUGAUCGUGCAAAGGUAGCAUAAUCAUUAGUUUUUUAAUUGAGAACUGGAAUGAAAGGUCGAACGAGAAAAAGACUGUCUCAAUGUAAUUUAAUUAGAAUUUUAUUUUUAAGUAAGAAAGCUUAAAUUUAUUUAAAAGACGAGAAGACCCUAUAGAGUUUUAUAAUUGUAGAUUUAUUUUUUAGUUUAAGAAUUUUAUUUUAAAAUUAAUUAAUAAUUAUUCGAUUGGGGCGAUUAAAAAAUUUAAUAAACUUUUUUUAUAUAAAAACAUUUAUAUAUGAUUAAUUGAUCCAUAAUUUAUGAUUAGAAGAUUAAAUUACCUUAGGGAUAACAGCGUAAUUUUUUUUGAGAGUUCUUAUCGAAAAAAAAGUUUGCGACCUCGAUGUUGGAUUAAAAUAAACUUUUGGUGUAGAAGCUAAAAUAGUUAGGUCUGUUCGACCUUCAAAAUUUUACAUGAUCUGAGUUUAAACCGGUGUAAGCCAGGUUGGUUUCUAUCUUUAA